rnacentral:rRNA from 1 species
UACGAGGGGGGCGAGCGUUGUUCGGAAUUAUUGGGCGUAAAGGGUGCGUAGGCGGUUUGGUAAGUCUUGUGUGAAAUCUACAGGCUCAACUUGUAGUCUGCACGAGAAACUGCCGGGCUUGAGUAUGGGAGAGGUGAGUGGAAUUCCUGGUGUAGCGGUGAAAUGCGUAGAUAUCAGGAGGAACACCUGUGGCGAAAGCGGCUCCCUGGACCAUAACUGACGCUGAUGCACGAAAGCUAGGGGAGCAAACAGG